GCAUGGAGCCGACCUUGAAAUACCACCCUUUAAUGUUUGAUGUUCUAACGUGGACCCGUUACCCGGGUUGCGGACAGUGUCUGGUGGGUAGUUUGACUGGGGCGGUCUCCUCCUAAAGAGUAACGGAGGAGCACGAAGGUUGGCUAAUCCUGGUCGGACAUCAGGAGGUUAGUGCAAUGGCAUAAGCCAGCUUGACUGCGAGCGUGACGGCGCGAGCAGGUGCGAAAGCAGGUCAUAGUGAUCCGGUGGUUCUGAAUGGAAGGGCCAUCGCUCAACGGAUAAAAGGUACUCCGGGGAUAACAGGCUGAUACCGCCCAAGAGUUCAUAUCGACGGCGGUGUUUGGCACCUCGAUGUCGGCUCAUCACAUCCUGGGGCUGAAGUAGGUCCCAAGGGUAUGGCUGUUCGCCAUUUAAAGUGGUACGCGAGCUGGGUUUAGAACGUCGUGAGACAGUUCGGUCCCUAUCUGCCGUGGGCGCUGGAGAACUGAGGGGGGCUGCUCCUAGUACGAGAGGACCGGAGUGGACGCAUCACUGGUGUUCGGGUUGUCAUGCCAAUGGCACUGCCCGGUAGCUAAAUGCGGAAGAGAUAAGUGCUGAAAGCAUCUAAGCACGAAACUUGCCCCGAG
rnacentral:rRNA from 1 species